rnacentral:rRNA from 1 species
CUUGGUCAUUUAGAGGAAGUAAAAGUCGUAACAAGGUCUCCGUUGGUGAACCAGCGGAGGGAUCAUUACAGAGUUGCAAAACUCCCAACCCUUUGUGAACGAACCUACCAGUUGCCUCGGCGGCGAGCCCCCUGGGCGGACCGCCGGAGGAAUACAAACUCUUUGCAUUAUAGUAUCUCUGAUUACUUAUUCAAUAAGUUAAAACUUUCAACAACGGAUCUCUUGGUUCUGGCAUCGAUGAAGAACGCAGCGAAAUGCGAUAAGUAAUGUGAAUUGCAGAAUUCAGUGAAUCAUCGAAUCUUUGAACGCACAUUGCGCCCGCCAGUAUUCUGGCGGGCAUGCCUGUUCGAGCGUCAUUUCAACCAUCAAGCCCCAGGCUUGUGUUGGAGCCCUGCGGCUGCCGCAGCCUCCCAAAACCAGUGGCGGGCUCGCUAUCACACCGAGUGCAGUAGUUUACUCUUCGCUCAGGGCGUGUGGCGGGUGCUAGCCGUGAAACCCCCAACUUCUCAAGGUUGACCUCGGAUCAGGUAGGAAUACCCGCUGAACUUAAGCAUAUCAAUAAGCGGAGGA